GCUCGAGGAGACUCACUAAAGGAAAAGAGGAGAACCAGGAAGGUCUGGUAUCUGGGAAGCCAAGAAAAGUGACAGAGCCUACUUGAAGGUAAUACGUGUACUGAAGUCUGAAGACCUGAAGAUGUGAAGGAAUAAAUAUUCGACUGAGGAAGUUUAGAUGCUGAGGCUGGUAUUCCUGCUCAAGGGACCCUCCUGAGCAUUCUCUCAAGUCAGCCUAGAAUGAUCACUGUGACCGCAUGCUCGGUUGAUCCUACCUUCUAGCAGACCAGCAGCUGCCCCCCAGGAAGAGCUGCCCUGGGACUCCUCUAUGUUUUACUAAACAUAAGCCCCUCAUCUCUGGGUUCUGACCCUGCUCCACAGUCUCCCACACUCUGACUUGGAUUUUGGCUCUGUACACUCACUCCCCUGUUGGGCUUCCCUGGAGGUUCAGAAGGUAAAGAAUCUGCCUUCAGCGCAGGAGACCCAGGUACAGUCUCUCGAUUGGGAAGAUCCCAUGGAGAAGGAAAUGGCAACCCGCUUCAGUAUUCUUGCAUGGAGAAUUCCAUGGACAGAGGAACCUGGCAAGCUACAGUCCACGGGUUCGCAGAGUUGGACACUGCUGAAUGACAAACACUUGUUUCACUCCCCUCUUGGCAUCAGCUUCCCCACAUCCAAUACUGGCUGCCUGCUUAGCCUCCCAGUCACCAGGUCAAGUAUGAAGACUCUCUGCAAAUAUUUACUAUGGGUCUCUGAAGUGCCCGGCACUGUGCUAGACAGGAACUGCCUUGUGAACCAAAACAGACCUGUCACUGUCCGUGGAGAACUUCACUUUCUGGUGUGGGAAACAGUGAUGAAACAAAUGUAAAAUGUGUACAGUAUUAUGUGCUGGGGAGGAGAGGGCACAGUGCUGUGGAUGUCUAUCAGAG
ensembl:lncRNA